rnacentral:rRNA from 1 species
GAUGAACGCUGACAGAAUGCUUAACACAUGCAAGUCAACUGUGGCGGACGGGUGAGUAACGCGUAAAGAACUGGCCUCACAGAUAGGGACAACAUUUGGAAACGAAUGCUAAUACCUGAUACUGUGAGAGAGUUUUGCGUCCCAUUAGCUAGUUGGAGAGGUAACGGCUCACCAAGGCGAUGAUGGGUAGCCGGCCUGAGAGGGUGAUCGGCCACAAGGGGACUGAUACACCGCCCUUACUGCUACGGGAGGCAGCAGUGGGGAAUAUUGGACAAUGGACCAAAGUCUGAUCCAGCAAUUCUGUGUGCACGAUGAAGUUUUCGGAAUGUAAAGUGCUUUCAGUUGGGAAGCAGUACCAGCAGAAGAAGUGACGGCUAAAUACGUGCCAGCAGCCGCGGUAAUAC